rnacentral:rRNA from 1 species
GCUUGGGUUGGAAACCGGGGCUUCUGCCUUGGAUUGUGGCCUUUAGACAUACUACCAACGGCGGCGCGAGCGUAAGCCUCUUGGAACAGAGCGUCUACCUAGGUGAGAAUCCUGUGUUUCGCUUGAUGCCCGCCGUGCACGGUACUUGCUCUCAGAGUCACGCUCCUCGGAAUUGGAGCGUAAAUUGGGUGGUAAAUUUCAUCUAAAGCUAAAUACAGGCUCGAGACCGAUAGCAAACAAGUACCAUGAGGGAAAGAUGAAAAGGACUUUGAAAAGAGAGUUAAAAGUGCUUGAAAUCGCUGAACUGGAAGCGAAUGGAACUAGUGCUCUGGUUGAGAUUGCUGCAGGUGGCUGCAAAAUCUGGGCUCUGGAAUGCAAAUCCUUGGUCUAGUUUGGAGUAGUUGCUUGCAAUGUGUCUCAGCUUGAACAUCAACUUUCAUGCAUGCGUGAGGAUGGCCCUUGGCUCAUGCUGUCUUACUGCGGUGAAAUUCUUGUGCCUUUUGGGAUUCAGGCGUGUGUGGACUGUUGAUCAAUUAGUUCCAUUCGACCCGUCUUGAAACACGGACCAAGGAGUCUAGCACUUGUGCAAGUCCUCAGGUGUCAAACCUCUGUGCGCAAUGAAGGUGACUGCUGGGAUUUUUGCACCAGCAACCGACCAAUCAAUUGGGAGAAGUUUGAGUAAGAGCAUGUGUGUUAGGACCCGAAAGAUGGUGAACUAU